rnacentral:rRNA from 1 species
CAGCCGCCGCGGUAAUACGAAGGGGGCUAGCGUUGUUCGGAUUUACUGGGCGUAAAGCGCACGUAGGCGGAUCGAUCAGUCAGGGGUGAAAUCCUGGAGCUCAACUCCAGAACUGCCUUUGAUACUGUCGAUCUCGAGUCCGGAAGAGGUGAGAGGAACUCCUAGUGUAGAGGUGGAAUUCGUAGAUAUUAGGAAGAACACCAGUGGCGAAGGCGGCUCACUGGUCCGGUACUGACGCUGAGGUGCGAAAGCGUGGGGAGCAAACAGGAUUAGAUACCCCCGUAGUCCCUGUCUCUUAUAA